AAUCUAUAUCAAUCCACGCACCGUGAAUAAUACUGUUGGCCACCGUUUAACCGUUUCAGUUAAACGGUUGGGGGUUGUACGGAAGUGCAAACUGCCGUACAACCACAGUCGUUGCUCUUGCACAUGUGCAAGCGUGGCGUCGGUCUAUUACUAACCAGCCAACUCCAAACCAUAACCAAUUUAAAAUCGAGGGUUCAGCUUAGAGCUGACUCUCAAAAACCAAGACAACUCUCAACAACGGAUAUCUUGGCUCUCAGAUCGAUGAAGAACGCAGCGAAAUGCGAUACGUAGUGUGAAUUGCAGAAAUACGUGAAUCAUCGAAUUUUUGAACGCAAAUUGCGCUCGAGGCUUCGGCCAAGAGCAUGUCUGCCUCAGCGUCGGGUUAAUACUCACUAAUGCACAGCUCUGCAUGUGGAUCUGGCUGUCUCGGAGAACUAUACAUUCUCCGGGUUAGCUGAAGUGAAGAUGUCAAACCAUGGACCGUUAAAUGGGCCUCUACUGGGUAGGCAACUUGUUGCUCAAUGCUUGAGUAGAUGGCUUGGGAUAUGUGUUUGGCUCAAAGCAGGAAUACUUGAACACAAGUAUGAAUCCCUAUUUUUCGACCUGAGCUCAGGCAAGA
rnacentral:sRNA from 1 species